UGGCCAGACUCCUACGGGAGGCAGCAGUCGGGAAUAUUGCGCAAUGGAGGAAACUCUGACGCAGUGACGCCGCGUGCAGGAAGAAGGUUUUCGGAUUGUAAACUGCUUAGACAGGGAAGAAAAAAGACAGUACCUGUAGAAUAAGCUCCGGCUAACUACGUGCCAGCAGCCGCGGUAAUACGUAGGGAGCGAGCGUUAUCCGGAUUUAUUGGGUGUAAAGGGUGCGUAGACGGGGAAUUAAGUUAGUUGUGAAAUCCCAAGGCUCAACUUUGGAACUGCAACUAAAACUAAUUUUCUUGAGUACUGGAGAGGAAAGUGGAAUUCCUAGUGUAGCGGUGAAAUGCGUAGAUAUUAGGAGGAACACCAGUGGCGAAGGCGGCCUGCUGGGCUUUUACUGACGCUGAGGCUCGAAAGUGUGGGGAGCAAACAGGAUUAGAUACCCUUGUA
rnacentral:rRNA from 1 species